GGCAAAUGGGAUCAUAUAGUACUACCCGGAGCCCUACAUUUAUUGCUGGUUUUGACAUUUCAUAUGGACGAGAAGAAGCUGUGCCUCAGGAACCCUAGACAUGGAUGGACUACUUAGUCUAUUGGCAUCCAUGUAAUGCAGUACCAGGCCUUAAUUGACCAUGAACUCUCCUAGAGCAUGCAAAAGCAACUGUAUCAUCGUGGGUCAUCUAAGAAGACACAGAGGUUCUUCGUCUUCCUCCGGGGCUCCACGGUCUCUGAUGAGAAGGCCCCAUCUUUCUAAUUGUUUUAGGCAUAUCAAUA
ensembl:lncRNA